AUGCUUCAGAAUCUCUCCAAGCUGGUACUACGGGAGAGCUACUUGAGUCAAGAUGGUGAUGCCAUACAAGCCCUUGGGUUCCUACCAAAUAUUGCAGUCCUACGCCUCUGGGAGGCGUUCACGGGGAUAGAUCUCCAAUUCCAGAGCUCAUCUUUCCCUAGUCUCGUGGAGCUACAACUCUCACGAUUAUACAACCUCGAGUCGGUGUUGUUUGAAGAAGGCACAAUGCCUAAGCUCGAGCUGCUACAAGUUGAUUUUUGCGUCCGCCUGAAUGGAUUCUCCGGGCUGCCAGCGGUCCUCACAAGCCUCAAGGAAAUUCGGUUGUCUAAUAGCAAACUCAAGAAAGACAUGGAGAGGCAGGUGGAGCAUAUGAAGCACGUGAGAGUUGUUAGAUGUGUAUAG
rnacentral:rRNA from 1 species